CGCCUCUUGAGCUUUAUAAGAGGUCCAGCCUGCCCAGUGACUCUGUUCAACGGCCGCGGUAUCCUAACCGUGCGAAGGUAGCGUAAUCACUUGUUCUUUAAAUGCGGACUAGUAUGAAUGGCACUACGAGGGUUAUACUGUCUCCUUUUUCUAAUCAGUGAAACUAAUUUUCCCGUGAAGAAGCGGGGAUACAACUAUAAGACGAGAAGACCCUAUGGAGCUUUAAACAAUCCAGCAAUUACUUCUAAAAUUAUAAAUUUCAGAAUAUUCAUUUCUUAAGUAAUGUGUCUGCAAGUUUUUGGUUGGGGUGACCAUGGAGAAUAAUAUAACCUCCAUAUUGAAUGAAUUCCCUUCUAAGCUGAAAAUUACCAAUUGAAGCAUCAAUAUACUGACAUCUAUUGACCCAAUAUAUUUGAUCAACGAACCAAGUUACCCUAGGGAUAACAGCGCAAUCCACUUCAAGAGCCCCUAUCGACAAGUGGGUUUACGACCUCGAUGUUGGAUCAGGGUAUCCCAGUGGCGCAGCCGCUACUAAAGGU
rnacentral:rRNA from 1 species